GACGAACGCUGGCGGCGUGCUUAACACAUGCAAGUCGAACGGAAAGGCCCUGCUUUUGUGGGGUUCUCGAUUGGCGAACGGGUGAGUAACACGUGAGUAACCUGCCCUUGACUUUGGGAUAACUUCAGGAAACUGGGGCUAAUACCGGAUAUGAGCUCCUGCUGCAUGGUGGGGGUUGGAAAGUUUCGGCGGUUGGGGAUGGACUCGCGGCUUAUCAGCUUGUUGGUGGGGUAGUGGCUUACCAAGGCUUUGACGGGUAGCCGGCCUGAGAGGGUGACCGGCCACAUUGGGCCUGAGAUACGGACCAGACUCCUACGGGAGGCAGCAGUGGGGAAUAUUGCACAAUGGGCGGAAGCCUGAUGCAGCAACGCCGCGUGCGGGAUGACGGCCUUCGGGUUGUAAACCGCUUUCGCAUGUGACGAAGCGUGAGUGACGGUAAUGGGUAAAGAAGCAACGGCUAACUACGUG
rnacentral:rRNA from 1 species